UCUCAUUCCACUAACAAUAAACUGCUGGCCCUCUGAGAGUGGUACUAGCUGUGAUGUAAACAUUGAGUAUGAGCUGCAGGAUGAAUCUCUGGAACUCAAUGAUGUAGUCAUUUCUAUCCCUGUACCGUCAGGGGUAGGGGCUCCUGUGAUUGGUGAUCUAGAUGGAGAAUAUCGCCAUGACAGC